UACGGAGGGUGCAAGCGUUAUCCGGAUUCACUGGGUUUAAAGGGUGCGUAGGUGGGCAGGUAGGUCAGUGGUGAAAUCUCCGUGCUUAACACGGAAACUGCCAUUGAUACUAUGUUUCUUGAAUUUUCCGGAGGUCAGCGGAAUAUGUCAUGUAGCGGUGAAAUGCUUAGAUAUGACAUAGAACACCAAUUGCGAAGGCAGCUGACUACAGGGACAUUGACACUGAGGCACGAAAGCGUGGGGAUCAAACAGG
rnacentral:rRNA from 1 species